rnacentral:rRNA from 1 species
UGCAAGUCGAACGAUGAAGCCCAGCUUGCUGGGUGGAUUAGUGGCGAACGGGUGAGUAACACGUGAGCAACCUGCCCCUGACUCUGGGAUAAGCGCUGGAAACGGCGUCUAAUACUGGAUAUGUCCCGUCACCGCAUGGUGUGCGGGUGGAAAGAUUUUUCGGUUGGGGAUGGGCUCGCGGCCUAUCAGCUUGUUGGUGAGGUAAUGGCUCACCAAGGCGUCGACGGGUAGCCGGCCUGAGAGGGUGACCGGCCACACUGGGACUGAGACACGGCCCAGACUCCUACGGGAGGCAGCAGUGGGGAAUAUUGCACAAUGGGCGGAAGCCUGAUGCAGCAACGCCGCGUGAGGGAUGACGGCCUUCGGGUUGUAAACCUCUUUUAGCAGGGAAGAAGCGAGAGUGACGGUACCUGCAGAAAAAGCACCGGCUAACUACGUGCCAGCAGCCGCGGUAAUACGUAGGGUGCAAGCGUUAUCCGGAAUUAUUGGGCGUAAAGAGCUCGUAGGCGGUCUGUCGCGUCUGCUGUGAAAUCCCGAGGCUCAACCUCGGGCUUGCAGUGGGUACGGGCAGACUAGAGUGCGGUAGGGGAGAUUGGAAUUCCUGGUGUAGCGGUGGAAUGCGCAGAUAUCAGGAGGAACACCGAUGGCGAAGGCAGAUCUCUGGGCCGUAACUGACGCUGAGGAGCGAAAGGGUGGGGAGCAAACAGGCUUAGAUACCCUGGUAGUCCACCCCGUAAACGUUGGGAACUAGUUGUGGGGUCCUUUCCACGGAUUCCGUGACGCAGCUAACGCAUUAAGUUCCCCGCCUGGGGAGUACGGCCGCAAGGCUAAAACUCAAAGGAAUUGACGG